AUUGAACGCUGGCGGCAGGCUUAACACAUGCAAGUCGAACGAGUGGCGGACGGGUGAGUAAUGUAUGGGGAUCUGCCCGAUAGAGGGGGAUAACUACUGGAAACGGUAGCUAAUACCGCAUAUCAUCGGCUGACCCCAUAUGGGUUUAGCUGGUUGGUGGGGUAAGGGCUCACCAAGCCGACGAUCUCUAGCUGGUCUGAGAGGAUGACCAGCCACACUGGAACUGAGACACGGCCCAGACUCCUACGGGAGGCAGCAGUGGGGAAUAUUGCGCAAUGGGGGCAACCCUGACACAGCCAUGCCGCGUGAAUGAAGAAGGCCUUCGGGUUGUAAAGUACUUUCGGUAGCGAGGCGUUAACUACAGAAGAAGCACCGGCUAACUCCGUGCCAGCAGCCGCGGUAAUUC
rnacentral:rRNA from 1 species